rnacentral:tRNA from 1 species
GGGCUCAUAGUCUAGUGGCUAUGACGUCGCCUCGACAAGGCGGAGGUCCCCGGUUCGAAUCCGGGUGGGCCCA